rnacentral:rRNA from 1 species
GUGGGGAAUUUUGGACAAUGGGCGAAAGCCUGAUCCAGCAAUGCCGCGUGUGUGAAGAAGGCCUUCGGGUUGUAAAGCACUUUUGUCCGGAAAGAAAUCCUUUGGGUUAAUACCUCGGAGGGAUGACGGUACCGGAAGAAUAAGGACCGGCUAACUACGUGUCAGCAGCCGCGGUAAUACGUAGGGUCCGAGCGUUAAUCGGAAUUACUGGGCGUAAAGCGUGCGCAGGCGGUUAUGUAAGACAGAUGUGAAAUCCCCGGGCUUAACCUGGGAAUUGCAUUUGGGACUGCAAGGCUAGAGUGUGUCAGAGGGGGGUAGAAUUCCACGUGUAGCAGUGAAAUGCGUAGAGAUGUGGAGGAAUACCGAUGGCGAAGGCAGCCCCCUGGGAUAACACUGACGCUCAUGCACGAAAGCGUGGGGAGCAAACAGGAUUAGAAACCCUGGUAGUCC